AAUGGGCGCAAGCCUGAUCCAGCAAUGCCGCGUGUGUGAAGAAGGCCUGCGGGUUGUAAAGCACUUUCAGUGGGGAAGAACGGAUGCGGGCCAAUACCCCGGAUCACUGACGUUACCCACAGAAGAAGCACCGGCUAACUCCGUGCCAGCAGCCGCGGUAAUACGGAGGGUGCAAGCGUUAUCCGGAUUCACUGGGUUUAAAGGGUGCGUAGGCGGGUUGAUAAGUCAGUGGUGAAGGCUCCGAGCUUAACUUGGAAACUGCCAUUGAUACUGUCAGUCUUGAAUGUCGUAGAGGUAAGCGGAAUGUUGCAUGUAGCGGUGAAAUGCUUAGAUAUGUUACAGAACACCAAUUGCGAAGGCAGCUUACUAUGCGAUGAUUGACGCUGAGGCACGAAAGCGUGGGGAGCAAA
rnacentral:rRNA from 1 species